rnacentral:rRNA from 1 species
GUGAGUAGUUCAGAGUUUGAUCCUGGCUCAGGAUGAACGCUGGCGGCGUGCUUAACACAUGCAAGUCGAACGAAGCAAUGCAACGGAAGUCUUCGGGUGGAAGAUGUAUUGACUGAGUGGCGGACGGGUGAGUAACGCGUGGGUAACCUGCCUUGCACAGGGGGAUAACAGUUAGAAAUGACUGCUAAUACCGCAUAACCCGCUAGUACCGCAUGGUACAGACGGAAAAGAUUUAUCGGUGUAAGAUGGACCCGCGUCUGAUUAGCUAGUUGGUAGGGUAACGGCCUACCAAGGCGACGAUCAGUAGCCGGCUUGAGAGAGUGACCGGCCACAUUGGGACUGAGACACGGCCCAA